GAUGAAGAACGCAGCGAAAUGCGAAAAGUAAUGUGAAUUGCAGAAUUCAGUGAACCAUCGAAUCUUUGAACGCACAUUGCGCCCGGCAGUAAUCUGCCGGGCAUGCCUGUCCGAGCGUCAUUUCUGCCCUCGAGCGAGUCCAGCAUCUAGGUGCUGGGCCCGCCCGGCGUUGGGGCACUACGGGAAGCCCUGUGCUGUCCCCCGUAGGCCCCGAAAUGAAGUGGCGGUCCUGCCGCGGCGCCCCCUGCGUAGUAUAACAGCUCGCUUCGGGACCCGGUGGAGGCCUGCCGUCAAACCUUACUCUCUAAGUUUGACCUCGGAUCAGGUAGGGUUACCCGCUGAACUUAAGCAUAUCAAUAAGCGGAGGA
rnacentral:misc_RNA from 1 species